GGGUGACAGGUGACAGAGUGAGGGAGGGGAUGACUGGUGACAGAGUGAGGGAGGGGGUGACUAGUGACAGAAGGAGGGAGGGAGUAGUGACAGAGUGAGGGAUGGGGUGACUAGUGACAGUCACCCCUCUCUCACUCUGUCACUAGUCACCCCCUCUCUCACUCUGUCACCAGUCAUCCCUUCCUUCCCUCACUCUGCCACUAGUCAUCCCUUCCCUCACUCUGUCACCAGUCACCCC